AGGGUGUGGGACCAGAACAGAUGCUGAAUCAAUCCUGGUUCUGGGGAUCAUCUUGUCCUGUGAUUGGUGCAAAGUGGACAUUUUGACCAACAUGCACACCAGUUCUCUCUCAUUGCACCUCCAGGGCCUAUGCUGCAAUUCUUCAGGAGUAAUUAAUUUAUUUUCCAUUAUUGCCAUACAACAAUGUGAACAUGUCAUAUUGAAGUUCUGUGGAGAAGCAGCAUUUCAGACUGAUGGCCUUUAUUAUCCAUGUAAUGAAGAAAAAAAGAAGGACACACUUGUGUUUCUAGUGCAGGCAACGUUAGGCUGUGUCCAGAGGUCUUGUAAGUCAUCCUUAGCUGAGCCAAACCUGAACCCCAAAGACAUGCAAGCUAAUACUAUUUUUAUUAUAAAGUUGUAUUUUAUUUAUUUGUUUGUUUGUUUGCUUGUUUGUUUAAUUUGUUUGUUUGUUUGCUAAAUUUAUAUGCUGCCCAUCUCCCUGAUAAAGCGACUUUUACAGUCUGUGAGGAAGAUGGGUAGUUUUUAAAUAUGAUCAAUCAAUAAAUAAAAAGAUAAAAGA